UCCUCGGUAGCUCAGUGGUAGAGCAAACGACUGUUAAUCGUUGGGUCGCAGGUUCAAAUCCUGCCCGAGGAGCCA
rnacentral:tRNA from 1 species